rnacentral:piRNA from 1 species
UACAGUUGAUGGCUGUGUGUCUCUCC